UACGGAGGGUGCGAGCGUUGUCCGGAAUCACUGGGCGUAAAGGGCGCGUAGGUGGCGCGGGCAGUCAACGGUGAAAGUUCGGGGCUCAACCCUGAAUCGGCCGUCGAUACUCCCGGGCUUGAGCACUGUAGAGGCAGAUGGAAUUCCGGGUGUAGCGGUGGAAUGCGUAGAGAUCCGGAAGAACACCGGUGGCGAAGGCGGUCUGCUGGGCAGUAGCUGACGCUGAUGCGCGACAGCGUGGGGAGCAAACAGG
rnacentral:rRNA from 1 species